rnacentral:rRNA from 1 species
CAGUAGCCACGGGAAUACGUAGGGUGCAAGCGUUAAUCGGAAUUACUGGGCGUAAAGCGUACGCAGGCGGUUAUAUAAGUCAGAUGUGAAAUCCCCGGGCUCAACCUGGGAACUGCAUUUGAGACUGUAUGGCUAGAGUGUGCCAGAGGGGGGUAGAAUUCCACGUGUAGCAGUGAAAUGCGUAGAUAUGUGGAGGAACACCGAUGGCGAAGGCAGCCCCCUGGGCCAAUACUGACGCUCAUGCACGAAAGCGUGGGGAGCAAACAGGAUUAGAUACCCCAGUAGUCCCUGUCUCUUAUAC